AUUGUGGUUAAAAUUGGACACUCACAAGUUUCAGAGCCCUUAGAGAAUGGCUCUGAAAUGUAAUAGCGUUUCAUCCACCAUUGGAAUAACAGGAAAUUGUAGCAAGGCCUUUACUGGAAUGAUAAGAUCUCCAGAAGAAACAGGAACCAGAUGAUAGAUGAUAAAAUUACUUUUAUUCCAUGUAUAUUUAAAAGUAAAUAACAAAAAGCUGCACAAC